AGACCAAACCGUUUCCCCUCCUCAGCCGACACUUUAGAGAAUGCUACACUGCUAACUCCCCCAACACCAAACAGAAUGGAGUAGCCAUACUGCUACGCAAGACAUGUCCCCUAAACGUAACACAAGUCAUUAGAGACCCCCAAGGCAGGUUCCUGACACUCACAGGCCAGGCAGGCCCCAACAAAUAUGCCAUCACAACACUCUAUGCACCGAACAUCCCUGACAAAUCAUUCUGGGAUACACUACAGGCCCACCUGACACUGACCCCAGGCCACCUCAAAAUUAUUGGAGGAGAUUGCAAUGCUACGUUGUCACCGGCGACAGACAGACACCGCACCCGCAAACACGGGCAAGACACAGCCCCUACAACCAAAGUAGAUAAACUGCUACAAGCAUUCACCCUCCAAACACGAUUGGUUGACGUGUGGCGAGCUCUACACCCAACCACACAUGACUUUACAUUCUUUUCACACCCACACAACUCUUACUCACGUAUAGACCUAUUUUUGAUUUCCCCCUCCCUCCUACCCAUGGUCCACACAGCCACCAUAGGCAACAUAACAUGGUCAGAUCACGCGGACAUAGCCCUAACAAUAAAAAUCCCAAACGUAGCGCGCCCCUGGACCUGGAGACUGAACCCGACUCUGCUACAUAACCCCCUCCUGAGAGACACCAUUCACAAAGACUUGUCAGAAUAUUUUACCAAUAACGCACCCUCAGCACCCUCCCCGGGAAUACUAUGGGCAGCACACAAAGCAGUCAUCAGGGGGAAAUUAAUUAGCCUAGCCGCAGCACAUAAGAAAACUCAACUAAAGUCACUAGCAAAAUCCCUGGAGGCCCUCAGGAACCUAGAAACCGAACACAAACAAAAGCCCACCCCUGACAUUCUCGCAAAACUGACAGACUGCCACAAGCAAAUUAAAGACUUCAUGGCCAAGGACUCGGCCAAGGCAUUACAAUGGUCAAAACAGACCUACUAUGAAAAAUCAAACAAGGCAGACACUCUGCUAGCGAGAAAACUUAAACACAGGACAGACCAAAAAAGAAUAGACAAAAUACAGACACCGGAGGGAAUCACACACUCCCUCCCAUCAAAAAUAGGCGAAGUCUUCCAAAAAUACUUUACCACACUAUAUGACCACAACCCAGAAGCGAGACAACACCCGGACGUAAUGUUAGAGUCCAUAAACACAUAUCUGCAAAAAAUACCACUACCAGCCCUGAAACCAGAAGCGAUAGCUAAACUAAGUGAACCUAUCACCAUAGAAGAAGUGGCCACAGCAAUUAAAAACACUAAACCCAAUAAAAGCCCCGGACCCGAUGGUUUUUCGGGUCUUUACUAUAAAACCUUCCCAACCACACUCCUCCCACACCUAUGCUCACUCUUCAACUCUGUGAUACAGGGAAAUCCGCUACCACCGGACAUGCUCCGAGCCAACGUGUGCCUCCUCCCUAAACCAGGCAAAUCCCACCUGGACCCAAGCCACUAUAGACCAAUCUCUCUACUGAACGUGGACGUCAAAUUACUCACUAAACUACUCGUAAAUAGGAUAAACCCAUACAUACAUAAACUUAUCCACCCCGACCAGGUAGGUUUCAUACCCCACAGACAAGCAUACGACAACACAAGACGGACCUUCGACCUCCUCUGGACCGCAACACACCGACGCAUCCCAGCCCUCUUUCUCUCACUAGACGCAGAGAAGGCUUUUGACCGACUCCUAUGGCCUUUUCUGUUCGCUACCCUCCGCAAAUUUCGGGUACCCCACACAAUUCUCAACGCACUUCAAACUUUGUACUCCUCCCCAGAAGCAAGCCUCCUCAUCCCUAACACACAACCCCCCUCCUUCCGCAUCUUCAAUGGAACCAGACAGGGAUGCCCCCUCUCCCCACUAUUAUUCGCCCUCUCAUUAGAACCCCUCCUCCAAGCCCUCAGGUUCGACCCUACAAUAUCGGGCAUAUGUAUAAGAGGGGAGGAAUACAAAGUUGCAGGAUACGCAGACGAUCUCCUCCUAACCCUCACCGAUCCAACACAAUCUCUACCUCCACUCCUUCACGCCUUGGACGAAUAUGCCAAAGUCUCAGGUUAUCGCCUUAACCUAGAUAAGACAGAUGCCCUACCUGUCCAAAUCCCAGCUGACGAGCUAUCCCACCUGCAGACCAGCUAUCCUUUCCAUUUCAACCCAUCUCAUAUACACUACCUAGGCGUCAACCUCCCAGCAGAUGUCACUCAAACAUAUCACCUAAACUAUACCCCCUAACUACAAAAAGCGCUGGCAGACCUCAAGACAUGGGAGACCUACUCGAUCUCCUGGCUGGGAAGAGUAGCCUGCAUCAAAAUGAAUCUUCUACCAAGAUUCUUGUACUUGAAUCAAACGCUACCAGUCCAGGUAUCGAUCAAAGAUUUCAAAGGCUUACAAACGCAGAUCGACCGCUUCAUAUGGGCAAACAAACGCGCCAGGAUUAGACGAGACAUCCUAUAUCUCCCGACCAAGGCCGGGGGACUGGGUCUACCUCAUUUCCUACACUACUUUCAUGCGGCCCAACUAACCCAAAUCCAG